rnacentral:rRNA from 1 species
AGAGUUUGAUCCUGGCUCAGGAUGAACGCUAGCGGCAGGCCUAACACAUGCAAGUCGAGGGGCAGCACGGUGUAGCAAUACACUGGUGGCGACCGGCGCACGGGUGCGUAACGCGUAUGCAACCUACCCAUAACAGGGGGAUAACACUGAGAAAUUGGUACUAAUACCCCAUAACAUCAGGACCGGCAUCGGUUUUGGUUGAAAACUCCGGUGGUUAUGGAUGGGCAUGCGUUGUAUUAGCUGGUUGGUGAGGUAACGGCUCACCAAGGCAACGAUACAUAGGGGGACUGAGAGGUUAACCCCCCACAUUGGUACUGAGACACGGACCAAACUCCUACGGGAGGCAGCAGUGAGGAAUAUUGGUCAAUGGACGCAAGUCUGAACCAGCCAUGCCGCGUGCAGGAAGACGGCUCUAUGAGUUGUAAACUGCUUUUGUACGAGGGUAAACGCAGAUACGUGUAUCUGUCUGAAAGUAUCGUACGAAUAAGGAUCGGCUAACUCCGUGCCAGCAGCCGCGGUAAUACGGAGGAUCCAAGCGUUAUCCGGAUUUAUUGGGUUUAAAGGGUGCGUAGGCGGUUUGAUAAGUUAGAGGUGAAAUACCGGGGCUUAACACCGGAACUGCCUCUAAUACUGUUGGACUAGAGAGUAGUUGCGGUAGGCGGAAUGUAUGGUGUAGCGGUGAAAUGCUUAGAGAUCAUACAGAACACCGAUUGCGAAGGCAGCUUACCAAACUAUAUCUGACGUUGAGGCACGAAAGCGUGGGGAGCAAACAGGAUUAGAUACCCUGGUAGUCCACGCAGUAAACGAUGAUAACUCGUUGUCGGCGAUACACAGUCGGUGACUAAGCGAAAGCGAUAAGUUAUCCACCUGGGGAGUACGUUCGCAAGAAUGAAACUCAAAGGAAUUGACGGGGGCCCGCACAAGCGGAGGAACAUGUG